rnacentral:rRNA from 1 species
GAUGAACGCUAGCAGGAGGCUUAGUACAUGCAAGUCGAGCGGGAUCCACCUUUCGGGGUGGUGAGAGCGGCGCACGGGUGAGUAACGCGUACACGACCUACCUCUGACAAGGGGAUAGCCCUGGGAAACUGGGAUUAAUACCCUAUACGAUUCCGGAUAAUAAAGGUCUGGAAUGAAAGCUCCGGCGGUCAGAGAUGGGUGUGCGUCUGAUUAGCUAGUUGGUAGGGUAACGGCCUACCAAGGCGAUGAUCAGUAGGGGGCGUGAGAGCGUGGUCCCCCACACGGGUACUGAGACACGGCCCAGACUCCUACGGGAGGUAGCAGUGGGGAAUAUUGGACAAUGGGCGCAAGCCUGAUCCAGCCAUGCCGCGUGAGUGAUGAAGGCCUUAGGGUUGUAAAGCUCUUUCGGCGGGGACGAUAAUGACGGUACCCGCAGAAGAAGCCCCGGCUAACUUCGUGCCAGCCGCCGCGGUAACAC